UACAGAGGUCUCAAGCGUUGUUCGGAUUCAUUGGGCGUAAAGGGUGCGUAGGCGGCGCGGUAAGUCGGGUGUGAAAUUUCGGAGCUUAACUCCGAAACUGCAUUCGAUACUGCCGUGCUUGAGGACUGGAGAGGAGACUGGAAUUUACGGUGUAGCAGUGAAAUGCGCAGAUAUCAGGAGGAACACCAAUUGCGAAGGCAGCUCGCUGGGACGUUACUGACGCUGAGACGCGAAAGCGUGGGGAGCAACAGG
rnacentral:rRNA from 1 species